GCUGGGCGUGGUGGUGGGUGCCUGUAAUCCCAGCUACUCAGGAGGCUGAGGUAGGAGAAUUGCUUGAGCCCAGGAAGCAGAGGUUGCAGUGAGCCGAGACUGUGCCACUGCACUCCAGCCUGGGCAACAGAGCAAGACUCCAUCUCAA
rnacentral:SRP_RNA from 1 species